GUUUUAAUAAUUUAAAAAAAAUAAUGAUUUUGUAAAUCAAUAUUAAGGAAAUUACCUUUUAAAAUA
rnacentral:tRNA from 2 species